AGGCAGCAGUAGGGAAUUUUUCGUCAAUGGGCGCAAGCCUGAACGAGCGAUGCCGCGUGAGUGAAGAAGGCCUUCGGGUCGUAAAGCUCUGUUGCGGGGGAAAAAAGGCAUCUGCAGGAAAUGGUAGAUGACAGAUGGUGCCCCGCCAGAAAGUCACGGCUAACUACGUGCC
rnacentral:rRNA from 1 species